CAGUCUGGUUGACAGAUCAACUCUGCGGGGCUUCGGCAAGCCAGCUAAAUAUGGUGAAGUUUCCUUUCUGACACCGACAGGAAGAGGUGGGCUCUGUGUCACGAGACGUCAGAAGAAACAACUCCGCCUUCACCCAAAGAUGGUAGCGGGCACGGAAGGCCACAAGACGAGCGUAGUAGGCUGGUGCAGGGAUGGAGACAGAGCGGGUACAGCGCACUCAGGAGGAACAAGACGGACUCACUUUCCUCUCUCCAUUUGUCAUAAUUGCUAGGCAACAACACAACCAACCACAGAUGAGCGGAGGUCAAGAGAUGGUUGACGUCAUUUCCUUUUUGAACCAUCAUUUGUUGCGCAUCAGAGUCCAAACUAAAAGUCAGAAUGACUGCAGACUCAUGAAAGCAGGACAUUUACCUCUAAUUUGAUGCAUCAGAAAAGAACAUCCCUUGUGCAGUUCUUCAUUGUAAAUUGCUUGUUACAUGUGAAGUACUGUCUCAGAGUAAAUCUGUAAAGUAGGACUGUAACUAAUCAUGCUUUUUUAUGAAAAUGCCAAAAUGAAUUACAAAUGCCCAUCCCAAAUGAAUUCAUGUCAUCUAUCCAAUUUCUAUUGUGCACUCAUGUUAUAAGUCAAAUGGAGAAUAAAUACUCCCAUAAGAGCUGAAUGUAACAACAAUUGUUAU